CUGAGUUAUCCAACUCCCAAACCCCUGUGAACAUACCUAUGUUGCUUCGGCGGGCCGUCCCGCGGCGCGCCCACGUGGCGUGACCCGGACCCAAGCGCCCGCCGGGGAACCAAACUCUUGUCUUCCAGUGUCUCCUCUGAGUGGCAUAAGCAAAAAUAAACA
rnacentral:misc_RNA from 1 species